GCUACUAAACGUGUCAGGAAGGCUUCAGCUCACGCUGGCACAACGGGCAGAGAAACAAACAGCACCCGCCGAGGAACCAGUCAUAGACUACAAUGACACCUCUGACGAGGAGAUGGAAGUGGAGCGGCAGUCGGCUAGCGACGCUUCGUUCGACGAACAGGACUUCGACGAUGAUGAUGAUGACAGCGACGAGGAGCGCCCGAGGCGUCGGCAAAAGGCCCAGAACAGUGACGAGAGCGACAGCGGGGGGGAGUGACAAUAUAUGUUAUGUUAAUUGU